rfam:Serratia sp. M24T3 contig027, whole genome shotgun sequence.
AAGGGCCUUUUCGCCACCUUAAGCAAGUGGGCAUCGGGUUUAGAAAAGGAUUUCUAACGGCCGUAAACGCAGGCGCAGAUUAGUGCUUGUUUCACGGUGUUAUCUCCGGUGGUGGUUCCGUGAAGCGGUCUGAGCAAGGACCGCGCAAUGAAAAGAUACCUCUGUAUCUUCAUCAUUGUUUCGGCUGUGGCGGUGAGCCUCGGAAAGGGGAGCUGGAAUAUUUCCAAUAACUCUCUCAACGUGAUCAUUACUACAACGAGCAAGUAAGCUAAUAGCCACCUGAGAGGGUGGCUAUUUUC